CUGACUUGCUGGUUGUGGCUUCUCUGUAGGAAGGGUUUACCUCAAAGCUGUGGACCUCCAAGACCGUCCUACCACAAGCACAGGUAGAGUUGUGUAUGUUCCUCGCCAAAUUGCUGGGAAGGAAGGAAUCUGCAAUAUAACAGAAACUUAAUGAGGAGUUUCAUCACUCCUGCCAAGAUGAGUCGAGUGUUUUCAAGCAGAUGAGUGUGAUCUAAGUGCCAGGGUGGAUGCAGUCCAGCCCAGGAAGAAUGAACUGGCAUAGAUGGAAUGACAGACAUUAGGCAUAAGUACUUUUUAUAUCAAGCCUUUGGCAAGUUACUUGUUGGAAAAAUCUGUUCUCAUGAACACAAUCCAAAAUCUGCAAGUUGUGCUACUAAGGCAUAUGAUAACUUCUAAUAUCCAGGGAUAUGCUAAUACAUACCAUCCUGGGAUAUGCCAAACCAUUGCCAGGAUAAUGGCUCAUUUCAGAUGCCAGUCAAGGUCCUUUUGACAGCCUUAGGGCAUUUCAGUAUAAAAGCAGCUUUGACUGGGUUGUUCAGAGUAGCACAUCUUUUAUCUUCCCCCAUCCCCCCAAACAGAAACUGUAAAUAAACUUUGAAUGAAAAGAGGAUGGAUGCA